rnacentral:tRNA from 1 species
GCGGGAGUGUCAGAGCGGUCAAAUGAGCAGGACUUAAGAUCCUGUGGCUUAGUGCCUUCGUAGGUUCGAAUCCUAUCUCCCGCA